UCCCAGGUAGCUCAGAUGGCAAAGUAGCUGCCUGCAAUGCAGGAGACCUGGGUUUGAUCCCUGGGUUGGGAA
rnacentral:tRNA from 1 species